UACGAAGGGGGCUAGCGUUGUUCGGAAUUACUGGGCGUAAAGCGCGCGCAGGCGGCUAUCCAAGUCAGUGGUGAAAGCCCGGAGCUCAACUCCGGAACUGCCAUUGAAACUGUUUAGCUUGAGGAUGAGAGAGGUGAGUGGAAUUCCCAGUGUAGAGGUGAAAUUCGUAGAUAUUGGGAAGAACACCGGUGGCGAAGGCGGCUCACUGGCUCAUUACUGACGCUCAGGCGCGAUAGCGUGGGGAGCAAACAGG
rnacentral:rRNA from 1 species